UCGGGAAUCUUGCACAAUGGGCGAAAGCCUGAUGCAGCGACGCCGCGUGAGCGAAGAAGGCCUUCCGGGUCGUAAAGCUCUGUUGUCUGCGAACGAACGGUCGUGGUCAGGAAAUGGGUCCAGGCAUUGACGGUAGCAGAACGAAGGAAAGCCCCGGCCAACUACGUG
rnacentral:rRNA from 1 species